CCUACGGGAGGCAGCAGUGAGGAAUAUUGGUCAAUGGGCGAGAGCCUGAACCAGCCAAGUCGCGUGAGGGAGUACUGCCCUAUGGGUUGUAAACCUCUUUUGUCGGGGAGCAAAAGCCGGACGUGUCCGGCUGGGAGAGUACCCGAAGCAAAAACAUCGGCUACACCCGUGCCAGAAGCCGCGGCAAUACGGAGGAUGCGGGCGUGAGCUGGAUUGAUUGGGUUUAAGGGGUGCGCAGGGGGAUUUUUAAGUCAGCGUUAAAAUCGGGGGGUGCAACACCAACCAGCCGUUGACACUGGGGAUCUGGAGUGUGCGAGAGGGAUGCGGAAUGCGUGGUGUAGCGGUGAAAUGCAUAGAUAUCACGCAGAACCCCGGUUGCGAAGGCAGCAUACCGGUGCACAACUGACGCUCAGGCACGAAAGCGUGGGUAUCGAACAGGAUUAGAUACCCGAGUAGUC
rnacentral:rRNA from 1 species